rnacentral:lncRNA from 1 species
CUAAAGACACCAUGGCAGUCAGGCGGAGAAGGGGUACUUGUCGAUUCCGCCCUCCUCGCCCUCCACCUCUCGAACACUUCAGACGCUCCAUCCGACUUGUCCUCGAGACUGUCCUUAAAUUCUCGAGCGAUGAAGGGCUUUACGUUUUUAUUUCAAUAGCAGGCACUUCCAAGAAAGAUUUCAGGCCAUUAAUCAGAAGCGCCUACGUGCAGGGGAAUCCAGUGGAGCAUAAAUCCUGCAGGCGGGCGUUCAAUUUCAGUGAGAGAGGUGACGGUCUACACCAGCCGCAGCACUGCUGAAUUUGGAGCCUGAAUCUAGUCCUGGCUUUGCUUACUACCUGAGUCAUCUCAGGCAAGUCCCUUCACUUUUCUGAGCCUCAAGUUUCCUCAUCUGUAAAAAGGAGGGGGCUGAGCUAGGUGACCGUUGAGGAUCUUUCCAAGCUUGAAAUUCAUGAUCCUGCCAUACUACUGAGUUGUUAUGGCAGCAUGAUGGAUUUCAACUGAUCCAUCCUCACACUUCCAUCAUGAAAGAGAACAAAUAAUUCUGGCCAUUCUAUCAUUAUGUUAUCCCUUCCUGAAAUGCAUAGGGCACCCCCUCUAGCCUCUCUCUUCCUCUUGUC